rnacentral:miRNA from 1 species
UUUUGAUUGUUUUUCGAUGAUGUUCG